GCUAUCCGCUUCGGGAUUUGGUUUCCCUUCAGACUUAGGUCAGCUACGAGUCUCAGUUUUUCUUUUUUCUUUCCUUUCAGUUCUAAAAUAACCGACACUGAUGUCCUGCAGUACUGGGAAGACCGUAGCCGCGAGGCGACUGUAAAUACCACCCCACCCCCAACCCGCUCAUGGCUGGCCAGUGACGUCCAAGCUAAUUUUAGACCUUGAAGACAAGCCACAGGGAAGAAACGGAUAAUGGGCAGAAAAUGAUCAGGUUCCAUGAUUCAACUUAAAGUGACUGGAAACAGAGCAAUGGGGAAGAGGAGAGGAGUCAGUCCAUCUUGUCAAGUUCAGUCAAGAAAUGUCACUGAGGUAGACAAGGCCGAAACUGCAGCCAAAAGACCCAAGGUCUUCUGUGCUUGUGAGAGUCCUGUCUUCCUCCAUAGGCAGAGAAGUGCCUGGCUGCUGCAGGCUUCAUGUGUUGAGUGCUGAGGAAGGAGUUGAGCCCCAAACCACAGGAGCUUCGACAGCCUCACUUUGUUGCAGAACAUGAUCAGAUCUCCUCAUGAAUCAGACCGGGAGUGGUGGUGCACACCUGUAAUCCCAGCACUUGGGAGAAGAGGAACGCGGAGACUCAAUAGUGAGUUCAAGGUAUAAAGAGUCUGAAUGCUCUCAAUACAGUCGUCACAGCCCUCAGUCUUGCUGGGACCCCUCCCAUCAGCCUGGUUUAAUUCCUCACGACCAUAUCAGAUGGCACCACAUCCAGGAUUUCAGAAUCCCCACGCUUUGGUCCAACUCGGCUACAAAUUGGAGGACGCUCAGAACACUCUUCGCUCUCUGCAGGUUUGAUGAUAACUUUCUGGAAUGGUUUACAGUAUUCCAGAAAACAGUGCUUGCUUUUAUAGGUUUGCCUUAAAAGCUACACAUGAAGCACCAAAUGAAGAGGUGACAUCUAAAAGGAUGCAGCGGAGCUGGUGCGCGGCUCCCCCCUCCUCCGCACGGCCCCUGGCACGGCCCCCUGGUGCAGGUUUAUGCUUGCCAUCUGGAAGUGCUCCAGCCUUAUCAUUUCGGGCAUUCGCUUCUGUUGCACAGGCCUGAUUUAUUACAUCAUUAGCCAUUGGUAAUUGAAUUCAAUCUCCAGCAUGCUUUCUCUGGUAGAUAUUUGGGGUGAGGCUGAAGUUUCAGCCUCCUAAUGGCUAGCUUUUAGGGCAACCAACCCCCCCCCCUCCUGAGGUUAACUAGAGGUCCACUAAGGGCUACCUCAUUAGCAUAAACUCAAAUGCGGCUUGUUAUGAAUAUCAGGGUAUGCUCUUGUUGCUCAGGGAACAAAGACAGAGAUCCAAUCCAUAUUUCUUAUUCUAUCAGAACAGAAUAAAGUGCCUCCCUCCCGUUCUCUAACCACAAAUCCCUCACAGCUAACAACCACGUCUGCCAGCACACUUACAUUUGGGCCAGUAAUUGCCUAACAGACAUAGCCAAAAACACCCACAGAUUUGUGCCAAUCUUCGGCAAAGUCAGAGUAGGCUAGAGAUAGAUUUAAAGAAACAGUUAAUUUACCUCCUUAGCAGUGUCUCUUCCCAUGUCAGUCAUGUUCCAUGUUAGUACCAGUAUUCUAUUGCUGACACGAGGCUCCGUGACCACAGCAACUUUUAUAAAAGAAAGCAUUUAAUUGGGGAUUUUGUAUAGUUUCAGAGGCUUAGUCUAUUAUCAUCAGGUCAGGAAUCAUGGCAUCAUGUAGACAGACAUGGUGCUAGAGAAGAAGUUGAGAGUUCUACAUCCAGAGUCACAGGCAGCAGGAAGUGAGACAGUGGGCUUUGCUUGGACUUUGGAAAACCUCAAAGUCCACCUGUAGUGCCAUGCUUCCUCUAUCAAGGCGAUAUUUCCUAAUCCUUUCAAAUGGUGCCAUUCCCUGGCGACCAAGCAAUAAAUCUAUUAGCCUAUGGGCUAAUAAACAAUGAAUAAUAAAUCACUCAAACCACUACGUUCUGACCCCCAUAGGCUUGAAGCCAUAUAUAAUGCAAAAUGCAUUUAGUCCAACUUCAAAAGUCCUUGUAAUCUAUCACAGUCUUAACAUGAUUUAAAAAUCGAAAGUUCAAAGUCUCUUCAGAGACCCAAGGCAAUCUCUUCACUGCAAUACCCUGUAAAGUCAAAAACAAGAUCACAUCCUUCCAGCAUACAGUGGCCAAGAGUAGACAUUACCAUCCCAAAAGGGAGGUAAGGUGUCAUAGAGAGAGAUACUGGACCAAAGCAAGGCUGAAAACCAGCUGUCAAUCUACCCUGUGCAUCCUCAGGUCUGAUACCGAGGCAUGCCUCAGAUCUCCCACUCAUUUCAGCUCUGUUGACUCCGCACGCUUCUUUCUCUUGGGCAGGUGCCACUCCUUGUUAGCAGUUCUCCUUGGCAGGUAUCGCGAGACUGGCAUCUCCAGCAUCCUGGGGUCUCUGAGGCAAUCCAGGCUUCACUUCCAUAGCUUCACACAGCGAAUGGCCUCUCUAGCCUUCCACCCAGGGACACCCCGACCAUGCCUGGCCUCAUUAGCCUUCCUUAGCCAUGAGGGAAGAUUCUACAAUCCUUUUCUUACAUCCUUUGAGGCAGGGCAGUAACACACAAGCACAAGCAAGCUCGUGCAAACGCACAAGGAAUAAGCAAAAUUGGCCAAGACAACCUGUCAGCGGACCAAAACCAUGGUAACCAAUGACGCCCACUUCUAGUUAAUCACAACACGCCAGCAGUGACCGCCAGUUUCCAAGGACCAACCAGAAACGGUCCUGUGGCAGCUUAA